GAAGAACUCAUUAUUUCUCCACUUGCAAGCAAAAUAAUAAAAGAAAAUAAACAGGAAGAUAGGAAGAAUAUGUUUUAUUCCAUCAAGUUUUAACAGCACUGUUAUUUUGCUUGGCCCUUUAUGGGCCAACAUAAAAUAUUUUUAGGUGCUUAUGUCAGCACAUCUUUGCUGCUCAGCACUGAUGAGUCCACCUGGGAAGACUGUGAUGGCUUCUCUGGCCAGCUCUUCAUGGCUUUAUUUGGAUAAAUGUAACAAAGUCAAUUGCUUCAAAUGAAAAAUCUGUCACUAUCUUUACAGUACCUCUGGGGGUACAUUUAUGUUGCUCUGUAGAUUGCACCCU
rnacentral:lncRNA from 1 species